GUUUUCCAGGUUCUUGUAGACCCAGCUUUCUGAUCUAAAGCUUUGUUCUAAGAAUCCCCGAUCUGAGCUUUUGUUGUGCAGGCUCAGAAUUCCUGAUAGCUGUCUCUUCCUGGCCGGGCAUUGGUAGCAGUGGGCUUUGUGCUGUGCCUGCCCUAUGGCAGUCAUACCAUGGGUGGCACUGGCCCCGUUCCUCUCUUCUCAAAACUUAUGCCCAUCCCUUGCAGGGAUUGUAAUGCUUUGUUUAGCAAAGAAUAAAACUCACAUUUUUUUCUAACAAGGGUGGUAUUUUUCUCUUGGAGGCUUUGCAGAUCUCCGUGUACUUUGAGAGGUGUUUUGCAGGAGUUGCUGAGGUGGGAUGGAAAUGAGGCAGUAAUUUGUUGUUGUUUAUAGAAGGGUAUGAAUGAAGUUUGACUGCCCACAGCACGGCAGCACUGCUGGCAGCUCUGGAGCAGUUCCAUAGAGAAGAGCAGUGCAGAGCACUGUGCUCAGCCCCCCAGGGAUGAUGAGGCAUCAUCAGAUGUUGCAUCUUGUCAUCAUUUUAACCAAAAUGAGAAGUUGUUCACAUUUUUCAUCUUUUUGCUCUGUCUUUCGGAUUUUUUUUGUCUGUGAAUGAUUUGACAGCUGCUUGCUGAGAAUGCUAAAUGUCCACAAUUGGCACAAGCAGCCCUGAUGCUCCCAGGAAGCUUUCCUGGUGCUUGAGCAGGUGGAGGGCUGAGGGCAGGCGUGGGCCUGGUGCCUGCAGGAGCUCAUGGCACUGUCGGUGUUGUGGGAUUGCUUCCUUGUGAAUGUUUAUGAUCAUACAUACUACUACUUUAUUUUUUUUUCUUUCCCAACUGUUGAUUUGUUUUUUAACUGACCAGGCAGGCCUGACUCCCCAGUAGAAAUCCUCAGAAUGAACAGCAUGAAAUAUUCACUGCCUGCUGUACAGGAGCAGGCUGAGGUGCCUGAAAGCCUGUUGGAAUUCUGGAGUGCCUGAAUCUUUUGACUUUACCCUGAGUUGUCACUUUCACUCUUAACUCACAGACUCUGCAAUCAAACUAAUUUUCCAAGUCUUGUGAGUUGUUCUCUUCCAUUUCCUUUUCAGUUCUCUUACUUUGUCUUUCUGCAUACUUACUUUCUGUGUAAUGCUCAGAGAUGGAAGUGUUCUCAGGUUUAAGCCUUGACUUUUCAGAGCCCAGGUCUGGCUUUUAUUUUAUUUUUCCUCCUCCUUAAUGAUGUUCUGGGCAUCGCAGCGUUGUUCAGAGAUGUUAAAAAGAAGUGAUGGAAUGGAAAUACCCAGUGCUGUGCUGUAAGAGGCGUGGGAUCUGGCACCCUGCAGGUAGGGUGCUGGUCGGCCAUUCUGGGCUCCUGGUUCAGGUAAAUCACUGCUCCUCGUCCGUGUGAAUCCUCGCCAAGGUGGGCUGUGCUUUCCAAACACUUGAAUGUCUGUGCUCCGUAUUUGUGUUAGCAGAGAGCUGGGACUUGCCUUCUGCGUGUAAGGGGGGGUCGAGCUGUAGGUGGCUGAGCCUUUUGCUCACACCACGACUCAGGAGCAGUUGCUUCUGCUUUUUCCAGAAGAGACAAGGUGAACGGGAUUGCGGAGGCCCCAGAAUGCGGCUGGUUGGUGCUCCCUGCUUGGUUCUGUUUCACCUCUGCCCCUUGUGCUCCCUUCUGAGAGGUGGCCAGGAAUGUUUUGGUCUUUGUUUCGUGGUGGUCUUUUCCCUUCAGUAGAAUCCCAUGUUGCAUGUCUUGCUUCCACAGACAUGUCUGCCAUUUUCUGGCACUGCAGCUUGGUUUGAAUUAUAAAAGGCAGCACAGAAAUGAAAGUAAGGAAAAUGAGUUCUUGAAGAACAGUGUCUUAUCUGCUGUGUUGUUUGGUUUCUGUUUGUUUUGACCCCAAUUAACCUGCUGUCUUCAUUUUAUAGAGAGGUUCUGUCCUGCAGAGCUUACAGCCAUGCUAUGGAGUAACAAAUGCUGUUGGCAAAGUGCGUAAAGCAGAAACCACCGCUGUGUGCCUCGGAGGGGUUUGCUGUAAGGGAGAAGAACCUCCCCAGACGGUGUGUGAAAUAACGAGGUGGUACCUGAACAUUUGCUGAAACACAUCAGCUGGCUUCAAUCUAAUUGCAGUGUAUAAAAGCAAGCCACUGUAAAAGGAAGGAGGUGGAAGUGCUCCUGGCUGCAGGGAAGCUUGCUGAAGUUGAUGGUGUGGUCAGGUGCAGCAGUGGCAGAGCUUAGCAGCUUCAGUUUACUGCAAGAGCCUGUUUCUUUAACACUGUGCGUGAAACUGAGUGCUGAGGUGGCCCUUCAGAACUAGGAAUUAUCCUUGGAGUUGCAUCAUAUUUAAUAAGUACGUAUAACUCAGUAAUCUUGUAAAAGCUGAUUACCUCGAUUAUUAAUAAUUAGGAUUUAUAAGUUAAGUAAUAUGCUGCAACUGUGUCCUACUGGCAGAUCCACAGGGGAAGCUGAGAGAUUAUUUUAGAAAUGUUCUUUAUAGCUGCUGCGUAGGGCGGUGCAGUUCUGAGUGACGAACGGGCAUUGUGGGGUGUGGGUUGUGUGAAGGUGCUGUGCCAGCGUGGCUUCGUCUCAGCAGCAAGGAUCACAUCAGGCGGUUUCAGCGUGCUUUGCUUCGUUUUAUUCUCGUAAAGAUUCUGGUUAAACGUAGUUACAGAGGUGCAGCCCCGUGCGUGCACUGCUGAGCCUGGGGCUGGCAGCGCCCUGUGCCGCACACCCCCACUGCUGGGACGCAUCCCCUGCCGCGAGCUGCCCGGCCCUGCGGCAGCGUGGCCACAGGGCUGCACCGCGACGCUUCGGCUGCUGCUCCUUUGGGGCUGGAAUCUGGAGAAAGCAAGGUUGUGCCCUGCACGUGGGGGCAGAGCCUCCGCUGCCCCGAGCUGCUCUCGGUGUCCUGAAGGUCGCUGAGAUGUGAACGCGGAGGGCAUCCAAGGCGGCACGGACGGUGCCACGGCGUGCGGAGCGGCCGGGCCCGGCGCUGGGCGUCCCGAGGCGGCGGGCCGUUCCCGUGCCGCAUUUCCCCCGGCAGGUGCGCUGGCGGGGCGGACUCCCGGCCGCGUUCCCGCUGGCGCGAACCGGCGGGCAGCGCCGUGGAGCUUACCGGAAAGCUGCCGCCAUCGCCGCGCGGUCCCGCCGCUCCGGGCUGCCGCCGCGAGCCGAGCACUCGUGCGGUGCUCCGCGGGAGGCUCGGGGCGGGCGCGGGGAAGCCGCUCGGCGCGUUGCCGUCACCGGCAGCCCGCGGGGACGCGUUCUCACGUUAACGCCGAGCCGAAUUACCUCGCUUUGCCGGAGCCGUGCGGGGCGCGGGCAGCGGUGCCUGCGGGGCGGGAGGUGGCCGUGCUCGGGCCCCGGCGGCGCCGCGCGGAGGUGAGGCCGCGGGCUGCGAACGAGCCGGGCCGGCUCCUCCUCCUCCCCCUCCUUCUCCUCCUCCUUCUCCCCCCCCCC